rnacentral:rRNA from 1 species
CCUACGGGUCGCUGCAGUGGGGAAUAUUGGACAAUGGGCGAAAGCCUGAUCCAGCCAUGCCGCGUGUGUGAAGAAGGCCUUCGGGUUGUAAAGCACUUUCAGUGGGGAAGAAAGCCUUGGGGCUAAUACCCUCGAGGAAGGACAUCACCCACAGAAGAAGCACCGGCUAACUCCGUGCCAGCAGCCGCGGUAAUACGGAGGGUGCGAGCGUUAAUCGGAAUUACUGGGCGUAAAGCGCGCGUAGGCGGUCUGAUAAGCCGGUUGUGAAAGCCCCGGGCUCAACCUGGGAACGGCAUCCGGAACUGUCAGGCUAGAGUGCAGGAGAGGAAGGUAGAAUUCCCGGUGUAGCGGUGAAAUGCGUAGAGAUCGGGAGGAAUACCAGUGGCGAAGGCGGCCUUCUGGACUGACACUGACGCUGAGGUGCGAAAGCGUGGGUAGCAAACAGGAUUAGAUACCCGUGUAGUC